rnacentral:rRNA from 1 species
AUGAGAAGAUUUGUAGAUGCACAACAGAGUUUGCAGACUGCCAUGUUAAACAAUGUCAACAGUUCUGGUUCUCUAGAUUGGUCUUGGUACAUGAUACAUCUUAAGCUUGGUCUUGGUACAGGAUACAUCUUAAGCUGGAGUUCGUCGCUAAGCAGAUGGAGAUGUGUGUAUGUAUACAUGUGUUCUGGAGAUAGGAGAACUAUCUGGUGGUGUGUGCGUGCUGCUGCAUCCUCUUCCGGCUGCUCUAAUUCACACCUUCAGUACAACUUCUUUCAGCGAGGUGGAGAUUGGGGCACGGUGGAGUGUGACCGUGUGUGUGCAGACGGCCCACCGCAACGUCACCGGCCGGAUCCCGCUCUUCAGUGUACAGCAAGAAGUUCAUGUAUUGAUGCCCCUGGAGUCCAUGUAGCUCUGCUGCCGUGCUACCCUUGUCGGCCUCGGCUAUGUCGAAGGAGCUCCCUUCUGUUCAGUGGAUUCAACAAAAAAAGUCCCUGCUGCCACUGCAUCCUGAGUUCAAGGGAUUCCUUAGGGGCCUUCUACACCAUCUUGCUAAUGAUGCCAUCGCUGGAUGCCACAGCCAUGCUCGUCGUUCUUGUACUGCCAUUCACAUACUGCUCCCUGUUUUACUUCAUUGAGAUCCAUAGAAAUAAGUUAUAUUCAGUUCGCCGCUUUUACAAUUGA